rnacentral:lncRNA from 1 species
AUUUUAUAUAUGUAAAUAUUAAAUAUGUAUAAAGGUAAGUGUGUGCUUAAGUAGUUUGCUGAGCAGAACUGGCUUGUUGAGUUGUGGGACAUAAGGAUCAUCUUGUUUCAGAGCUUCCCAGGUUCAUCAGCAUUUUCUGAGAGUUAGCACAAGGCUGAUAUUUCCAGCUGCCUGCAAGAUUCUGUUGUAUGAGACAUAUCCCGAAGAUGUGGUCAGCGUGCCGUCACGUGCACUGCUCAUCCUAUAGAAUUUAUCACCUCUCUGCUGAAAGUUUUCAGUACAACCAAGGAUUUCAUGUCAUCCUACUGAGAUAUAUGAAGGUAUAUAAAAAAACUAAACGUGCCUUUUCUUUGAAAUGGAUGGAAAAGAUGGCUUCUUUCCUUUUGUGAAUUUGCUGCACUUUAUAACAAAGAACUGGGACGUGAAUAAAUGAAAUCAUCCUUUG